UACGUAGGCAGCAAGCGUUGUUCGGAAUUAUUGGGCGUAAAGAGUAUGUAGGCGGUUUGCUAAGUCUGAUGUGAAAUCUCCCGGCUUAACUGGGAGGGUGCGUUAGAUACUGGUGGGCUUGAGUAUGGGAGAGGAAAGCGGAAUUCCUGGUGUAGCGGUGAAAUGCGUAGAUAUCAGGAGGAACGCCUGUGGUGUAGACGGCUUUCUGGACCAUUACUGACGCUGAGAUACGAAAGCGUGGGUAGCAAAC
rnacentral:rRNA from 1 species